rnacentral:rRNA from 1 species
UACGUAGGGUGCAGGCGUUAAUCGGAAUUACUGGGCGUAAAGCGUGCGCAGGCGGCUAUGCAAGACAGAUGUGAAAUCCCCGGGCUCAACCUGGGAACUGCAUUUGUGACUGCAAGGCUGGAGUACGGUAGAGGGGGAUGGAAUUCCGCGUGUAGCAGUGAAAUGCGUAGAUAUGCGGAGGAACACCGAUGGCGAAGGCAAUCCCCUGGACCUGUACUGACGCUCAUGCACGAAAGCGUGGGGAGCAAACAGG